rnacentral:rRNA from 1 species
AUUGAACGCUGGCGGCAGGCCUAACACAUGCAAGUCCAGCGGAUGAAGGGAGCUUGCUCCUGGAUUCAGCGGCGGACGGGUGAGUAAUGCCUAGGAAUCUGCCUGGUAGUGGGGGAUAACGUCCGGAAACGGGCGCUAAUACCGCAUACGUCCUGAGGGAGAAAGUGGGGGAUCUUCGGACCUCACGCUAUCAGAUGAGCCUAGGUCGGAUUAGCUAGUUGGUGGGGUAAAGGCCUACCAAGGCGACGAUCCGUAACUGGUCUGAGAGGAUGAUCAGUCACACUGGAACUGAGACACGGUCCAGACUCCUACGGGAGGCAGCAGUGGGGAAUAUUGGACAAUGGGCGAAAGCCUGAUCCAGCCAUGCCGCGUGUGUGAAGAAGGUCUUCGGAUUGUAAAGCACUUUAAGUUGGGAGGAAGGGCAGUAAGUUAAUACCUUGCUGUUUUGACGUUACCAACAGAAUAAGCACCGGCUAACUUCGU